rnacentral:tRNA from 1 species
GUCAGAAUGGCCGAGCGGUCUAAGGCGCCAGAUUUAAGCUCUGGUCCUCGUAUGAGGGCGUGGGUUCGAACCCCACUUCUGACA